GAAGAACGUUGGGCCAGAAAAAAGCACUGAGCUUGAGGGACUAGACUAAUCAAAAAAUGGAAUAACAUGGCAACAAUUACACUGAUGAGUGAGAGGGAAGCUACAGAUGCAUUCAGACACCUAUGGCACCACAGACUCAACGCAUUCAGCAUUUCGUGUCUAGUGUCUUGUGUUUCUGAGAGCAGGUGAGAGGAUCAGCAUGGUUAGAAUGAUGACAGCCCACUUUGAAAAUGUUCAUUUAUUCAUAGUUCAUCUGCUUCUGUGAAGGUACUUCUAUAAUUUUCUCCUGUAUAAUAUGAAAAAAAUUCAAAGGAGAUAACAUUUGAACCGAGUCCCAAAGAA
ensembl:lncRNA